CCCAAACAGCUUCUUAGCACUGUAACCAUCAAAAUAACCAGCAGUGCUUAUGGUACUUAAAGUGUUGCCUAUAAAUAAGUGCUCACAUUUCAUGUCAUGGAGUCUCAAUAAAAAAAGGGGGCUCACCAACUGAAAGAAAAACUAAACUGAAUUUCUUAUAAAAUAAAUCAUGUCUUGUUAUGUUUGGAGAUCAUGUCAUGUGCUUUGUUUGUUUGUUUUUUGUUGCAAUAUUUCCUUUGUCACAAAACCUGUACAGUGUUUAGUAUUUUAUAGUUAAACUACUUCAAUGUAUGCUAAUCCAUUUGUUGGCUUUCCUUCAAAUUCCAUACUCCAGUUUGUUU